rnacentral:rRNA from 1 species
CUCUUUCAUCCCGGACGAUGCUCAUGUGACGGUACCUGCAAAAAAAGCACCGGCCAACUACGUGCCAGCAGCCGCGGUAAGACGUAGGGUGCUAGCGUUGUCCGGAUUUAUUGGGCGUAAAGAGCUCGUAGGCUGUUUGUCGCGUCGACCGUGAAAACUUGGGGCUCAACCCCAAGCCUGCGGUCGAUACGGGCAGGCUAGAGUUCGGUAGGGGAGACUGGAAUUCCUGGUGUUGCGGUGAAAUGCGCAGAUUCAGGAGGAACACCGGUGGCGAAGGCGGGUCUCUGGGCCGAUACUGACGCUGAGGAGCGAAAGCGUGGGGAGCGAACAGGAUUAGAUACCCUGGUAGUCCACGCUGUAAACGUUGGGCGCUAGGUGUGGGGGGCCUCUCCGGUUCCCUGUGCCGCAGCUAACGCAUUAAGCGCCCCGCCUGGGGAGUACGGCCGCAAGGCUAAAACUCAAAGGAAUUGACGGGGGCCCGCACAAGCGGCGGAGCAUGCGGAUUAAUUCGAUGCAACGCGAAGAACCUUACCUGGGUUUGACAUGGGCCGCAAAAACUUCCAGAGAUGGGAGGUCCUUC